rnacentral:rRNA from 1 species
GAUGAACGCUGGCGGCGUGCCUAAUACAUGCAAGUCGAGCGAACAGACGAGGAGCUUGCUCCUCUGACGUUAGCGGCAGACGGGUGAGUGACACGUGGAUAACCUCCCUAUAAGACUGGCAUAACUUCGGGAAUCAGGAGCUGAUACGACUGAAUAUAUUGAACCGCAUGGUUCAAUAGUAAAGGACGGUGUUGCUGUCACUGAUAGAUGGAUACGCACCGCCUUAGGUAGUUGGUAAGGUAGGGGCAUAGCACGGCAACGAUGCGUAGCCGACACGAGAGGGAGAUUCGCCACACGGGAACAGAGACACGCUCCAGACUCCGACGGGAGGCCGCAGUAGGGAAUCCUACGCAAGGGGGGAAAGCGUGACAGAGCAACGCGGGGUGAGUGAUGAAGGUCCUCGGACCGGAGAACUCUGUUAUAAGGGAAGAAGAAAUGUGUAAGCAACAAUGCACGACAUGACGGUACCUAAGCAGAAAGCCACGGCUAACUACGUG